GACGAACGCUGGCGGCGUGCUUAACACAUGCAAGUCGAACGAAGUGGCGGACGGGUGAGUAACGCGUAAUCAACCUGCCCUUCAGAGGGGGACAACAGUUGGAAACGACUGCUAAUCCCGCAUACUGAAGGAGGGGAUUGCGUCUGAUUAGCUAGUGGGAGGGGUAACGGCCCACCAAGGCGAUGAUCAGUAGCCGGUCUGAGAGGAUGAACGGCCACAUGGGGACUGGGAAACGGCCCAGACUCCUACGGGAGGAAGCAGUGGGGAAUCUUCCGCAAUGGACGAAAGUCUGACGGAGCAACGCCGCGUGAGUGAUGACGGCCUUCGGGUUGUAAAGCUCUGUUAAUCGGGACGCGGUACCGGAAUAGAAAGCCACGGCUAACUACGUGCCAGCAGCCGCGGUAAUUC
rnacentral:rRNA from 1 species